rnacentral:rRNA from 1 species
AUUGAACGCUGGCGGCAUGCCUUACACAUGCAAGUCGAACGGCAGCGGGGGAGAAGCUUGCUUUUCCUGCCGGCGAGUGGCGAACGGGUGAGUAAUACAUCGGAACGUGCCCUGUAGUGGGGGAUAACUAGUCGAAAGAUUAGCUAAUACCGCAUACGACCUGAGGGUGAAAGUGGGGGACCGCAAGGCCUCAUGCUAUAGGAGCGGCCGAUGUCUGAUUAGCUAGUUGGUGGGGUAAAGGCCUACCAAGGCGACGAUCAGUAGCUGGUCUGAGAGGACGAUCAGGCACACUGGGACGGAGACACGGCCCAGACUCCUACGGGAGGCAGCAGUGGGGAAUUUUGGACAAUGGGCGAAAGCCUGAUCCAGCAAUGCCGCGUGUGUGAAGAAGGCCUUCGGGUUGUAAAGCACUUUUGUCCGGAAAGAAAUGGCUCUGGUUAAUACCUGGGGUCGAUGACGGUACCGGAAGAAUAAGGACCGGCUAACUACGUGCCAGCAGCCGCCGUAA